AGAGCAAGUAACGUCUAAAUUAACUUUUUUUUGCUGAUGAACUGUAUAAAUGAGUGUCUAAUAGUGUUUUAAAUGUGUGUAUUCAUUAUUUUAGCAUUUUGGUGCAUUUUCUUAAAAAAUUAAAAAUUCUGCCUAAAUACCACAGUAUAGCUCCACCUUCAGCUUAAAACAUAGAAUUUGACUCAUUUUGAAUAAAUUUUAGCCAAUGGCUAAAGAGUAAGAUACUACGUAAUCCAGUAGAGUACUACGUAGCAGCUCUGUGUCAACGUUAUAAAAGCAUCGGGAGUCUCGGCCACGCCUUGUGGCGAGUUGGGAGUUGGAUUUGCAUGAGAGUGUAGGAGGCUAGCCGUAGUUCAGCAUUAGCGUAUAGCAUUAGCAUAUCCUAGUCUUUAGCAUAGCUUUUAGUGUUAUACAUACUUAUUUAGUGUUAGCUUGGCUGUUGGAUAUUGUAGUUUAGUUACUGUUUGGCUGUUAGUGUAAUUAGGAAAGUAGUUCGGGUUUAGUGCUCCAUAUCGUGUUAGCAUGGUGAGAUGGUGUAGUGUAGUAUGGUUGCGGAGCUCUGUCGGGUUGCACUCCUUUCCGCUGGACUUAGAAAUUAGGCGCCAGUGGUUGCGUGUCUGGAAAAGAUUCAGCUCCCGCCUGGUGCUGUAGUUUGCAACCAGCAUUUUACCCGCGAUUCUGCACGUCUCCGUUCCAAGAGGGAGGCUGUGCCCACCGUGGCUCUUCCGCGAUUUAGAUGCAGCCCACCGACUCUGCUCCCCCACCAUGACGGGCUACAGUCUGAGGCUAAAUCUACCCAAGACACUGGCUGUCAGACUGAUUUAGUAAUCUGCAAGAAUGCACUUGUCCAGGCUGACGUGGUGUUACCCGUAGCAAAGAGCUCACAGCCUCAGUGUCUUGUGACACAGGGACCAUGACAGAAAUUCAUCUUCCAGAAGGUCCCAGAGCAUCCACACCUCCUGAAAAGACCAAGGUGUGAGGUGUCUGCUGUUGAUUCCAGCUUCCACCUCAGUGACAGUGCAAGCUCAGUGAACUGUUCAAGGAGGCUACUGAUUCUGGCCCUGUGACACUUGGUGGUCACCACCAGGUGGUGACGUGUGAGCUGAUUCACCUGGACACUCAGCAAAAUAUGGACUCUACACCAUGAGGCAGGCACACGUUAAUAACUCUAUAAGAGCACAUAAGCCUGGCUGAUCACCUGAUAACUCCUGUCAUCUGGUUAUGACAGCAUGAGGAUGUCCUCACACACCUGUAACCUAUCAGCUCAUCUGGCAGAAUAGAGAGAGAAGAGACAACACCACAUCUCCUGUUCCUGGAAAGCCUUCAGCCAUCCUUCGAUGACUGAGAACCUCCAUCAGCUCUGUCUCCUGUCUGCCUACAAUUAUUAUAAUAAAUAUUGUGUUUGACAAGUU